rnacentral:rRNA from 1 species
CACGGGUAGGGCGCAAGCGUUGUCCGGAAUUAUUGGGCGUAAAGAGCUCGUAGGCGGUCUGUUGCGUCCGACCUGUGAAAACUCGGGGGCUUAACCCCGAGCCUGCAGUGGGUACGGGCAGACUAGAGUGUGGUAGGGGAGACUGGAAUUCCUGGUGUAGCGGUGGAAUGCGCAGAUAUCAGGAGGAAUACCGAUGGCGAAGGCAGGUCUCUGGGCUAUAACUGACGCUCAUGCACGGAAAGCGUGGGGAGCGAACAGG